GACGAACGCUGGCGGCGUGCUUAACACAUGCAAGUCGAACGGAAAGGCCCUGCUUUUGUGGGGUGCUCGAGUGGCGAACGGGUGAGUAACACGUGAGUAACCUGCCCUUGACUUUGGGAUAACUUCAGGAAACUGGGGCUAAUACCGGAUAGGAGCUCCUGCUGCAUGGUGGGGGUUGGAAAGUUUCGGCGGUUGGGGAUGGACUCGCGGCUUAUCAGCUUGUUGGUGGGGUAGUGGCUUACCAAGGCUUUGACGGGUAGCCGGCCUGAGAGGGUGACCGGCCACAUUGGGACUGAGAUACGGCCCAGACUCCUACGGGAGGCAGCAGUGGGAAAUAUUGCACAAUGGGCGGAAGCCUGAUGCAGCAACGCCGCGUGCGGGAUGACGGCCUUCGGGUUGGAAACCGCUUUCGCCUGUGACGAAGCGUGAGUGACGGUAAUGGGUAAAGAAGCACCGGCUAACUACGUG
rnacentral:rRNA from 1 species